UGUUAGCUCAGGGCUAAUCUUCCUCAGCAAAAGAAGGGGAAACAACAAAACAAGAACAACAACAACAAAAGCAGGAUCUGAAACAAAAUCUAUGAAAUCAGAGUUGGAGAUAAAAUAGGAUCUAAUUCUGAAUUCUGAAUUCCUGAUAUGUGUAUCUGUUCCUAUACUAACGCCACAUUGAAUGAUGGAUACAUAGUGUGUUCCAAUAGCUGGAUCCGAACCAGCGAAACACUGGGCCACAGAAGUGGAGCGCGCGAAGUUAAUCACUCGGCCACGGGGCCGGCCUCCAGGUAUGUUUUUAAUGCUAGUUUUAUAAAUCAAAUGUAGAACUUUCCAUCUGCAAUAAUUUUAAUAAUCUUAGAAUUAUUUGUUCUUUAAAGGCUAAAUAAAACUCAUCUCUGAAACCUUCUGCCUUAUGAUCUUUUCAUGCUAACUUUAACCACCUUUCUAACUACCACAGUGGUGACUAGCCUACUCAAAUUCUCCAUUUUUUCUAACAUCAGUUUUGAAACUUUGGCGAUGUGUAGACAGGCAAACAUGCAGUUUCUGCAAGUUUUCCUUUCUUUCAAUGAGAUACGUGUAGUCAUCUCUAAGGGUUCUUUAUCUCCUUUCUCAUUUCUCUUCUAUUUUUG